CCUGGCACAGUGUGCGCGCUACACGGAUCUGUAAGGAGCGACGUCCUGAUCGCGCACGCGCUUGAUCGUCGCCUCUGUGAGGCGCGGCUCAACGAGGUGGACACGGCGCACGGUGGAGAGAUCCCCCUGGGAGAGCGCGUGCUCGACCGUAAUGUCGACCAUAUGAUCGACGCGCGCAUCAAUGUCGCGCUGGGGGAUGCCGCGGCGAGGUCGGCGAUCCAAGAGCAAAUCAAAGAGGUCGCGACGAUCCCUGUGGACGACCAGGGGAGACCGCACGCCACACACCGCCGGACGCCGCCAUCGAUAAUACUCGGGGAUGCCAUACGGAUCAUCAUACGCAUAGCGUUUAAACAGGUCGUGCUCCUUGACGUAUUCGACUUGGUGUCCGAGGGUCCAGCCAAUCGACGCCACAUGGCCGGCCAUGCACGCAUCGGCGUAGGCCGAACCCCAUAUCGUUGUCUGCAUCCGUGCGGGAUGCUCCGGCCACAUCGCGGCAACGUGCGCCUCGACAGUCCCGAACAAAUCGGUGCGAUUAUCAGAGGCGACGGCCCGAGCAAGACAGACCAGCCCACGCGAGCGCGAUUUCGCCACUUGAUGUUGGUGCACGUGCUCGUGAAACCAAAGUGCAUCGUCAGCGCUCUGUGUGGUAUAGACGCCGAUCUCCCGCUCGCCUUGCGCGAGAAACACCCCAGCCAGCCGCUUGUCGCCCAAGAGAUCUCUUAGCAUUCGCCAGUCACCGCUGAUAAUCGACGCGCGCACGGCGGUUGCGAUGGCGGUGGUUACACCUCCUCCUACCGCUGCGCCGACCGCUCUGACCAGGUCGCUAAUGCUGGCCGGUGGUGUUGGAGGCACUGCGGCCAGCCUGAACCACACGUUGCGAGAUACAGCCACUGGAAAGCCGCCGAGUGCCUCCAGAGCGUCGAGAGCGCCCACGACGGCGUCUGCAGAGUGCUUUGACUGAAUCGCUCGCGUGCACAUGUGUAUGACCGUUAUGUCGUCCCAUUCCUCGGUCGGCCGGUGCUCGGGACGACAUAGCCACACGAGAUCGGGAUCGUCACGACCGCGCAACGCAGCGGUAAACGCCAGCGCGGACCACUGAUGCAGCGAAAAGCGUUCGAUGGGCUCCACGGCGCGCAUCAGGUGCAUCACCAUGCGCGCGCGGCCUGCGACUUGCGCGGUCUGGACGUAGGCGACGAUGCGCGACCGGUCCACCGUGCAGACACAGGCACCGGGAUGCUCCACAGCGCCGCAAUGGUGUCGAUGAAGGUAAUGAUUCAUACCUUCAAUGUCACCCGCGGCACAGAGCGCGCCCGGCGUCGCCAGGCGAUAUCGACGCUGCAAAAGGCGAUCGGGGCCGAGGACGUGAAAGCGUCGCCAGGCCAAGAGGCACGCCCCCAGCGAGCGGUCAUCGACGUAGGCGUCGACGAUCGAGUAGAGCACAUCGUCGGGCAGCGCGUCGAUCAUCGUUGCCGACGCUACGGGUGUAUUUGCUGCCAUGCCCGAGAGCCUCCUUUUAGAAAAAAGAGGGAAAAGAAAGAAGAGGAAACGAAUGGCAGACGCCAGGUAAUGUGCCAAAAAAGAGGGGGCGAAAGGGCGCAGACGAUCGCUGUGUGUGGGCGCGGGCGCACGCACGAAAACACGCGACCGCCAAUAACAUUCGCUACGACGCAUGGCAUCGCCAAACAAAAAUGUGGCCACACAAAAAAAAGAUGGCGCAGUAAGUUGCGUUUUUUUGAUUCGUC
rnacentral:lncRNA from 1 species